GGCAGGGUCAGGAUGAGGUGCUAUGUGUCCCAGACCCUGCUAGCAACAUGUUUUGAGGACUGGGUCAGUGGGAGCAGAAGCCUGGGGGCCGUGUGGGGUCUGAGUGGAGGGGCAGUGGGACCCAUCAGUCUAGGGCUGUGCUUUGGGUGGGCGGUCACCUGGGUCCAUGCUUUCCGCACCUGCAUAGCAUGUGCCAUGCACCUCUGGGGAGAAAGGAGAAACAGUAGAUGUGGGUCAUAUGGUGAAUGUGACCCCUACUGACCCCAGACCCCAAAUGGUCACCCCCACCUGGCCAGCCCCCACCCUACUGCUGCCUCCCUGGCCUGACUGCUCUUCCUCCAUCCACACUCCUUCAUCGUGCCAUUUCACAUCCCUUUCCCAGCUCUGGUGUAUCUGUUCCCCCCUGAAGACUACCUGGACCCAGUGGCACUGAUGAUCCACAAGGUCCCCUGACAGGUGUUGGGGACGUGGGUCCUCCUGGAGAGAAGACAAAAGAGAACAAAAUGUGGAGAAUACCAGGAGUCUGUGAGGGGGAAAUGAAGUUUUUGACCCCAAUCUCUUUGCUGCUGGAGCCAGGAGAGACAGGAUCUCCAGGAAUCCAGGGUGAGCCAGGUGUCAGGUGAGUGACAGCUCCAGGGCCCUGCUUCAGCUUCAGAAUUCCCUUCACCCCCCUCAGCUGCACCACCCUCUUUUCCUGUGACUUCCUUAAGUUGGAGCUUCUCUGCGGCCAGGAAUCUCCACUCCCGACCAUCUUCUGAACGAGCCUUUCCACCCUGUCCUUGAAGGGAAGGGGACCAGGGGACUCCCCUUAUAGGCUAGACUUUCUUUGUGUGUCCCAUUGUCCCCGAGGGCAGUAGGGAGUGGCUAAAGGUGUCUUGGAAGCAGGGGCUGCAUCCCUGUUCUUCAAGACCCCCUGUGCUCUCCACUUGUUCUGCAGGGUACACACGGGGAGUAUGGGGGGAAAGGAGAGUCAGGGCAGCCAAGUUUCUGGGAAUAUGGGUGUCUGUGAGUGAGGAUCUUGGAGUGUGGGGAGCCUGGGAGUGGGGGGAUGCCUGGGAGGGAGGCUCUGGGAAUGGGGUGUCCUGGGAGGAUGCAUGGGAUCUGGAGUCCAGAGAGAAAGUGAGAGAUACCCUGUGGCUACUACUGUAAGGCAUUAGACAGCAUCAGUGCUUGAGGUGGGGAUGGGGAUGCAGAGACCCUCUUCCUAAGGA